GACGGAGCAAUUACUAUUGUUUUCCCUACUUUUCCUUAUCUACUUGCGGAGUGUUACCAUUUGGACUGAGAAGCAAAACAGCCGAGUAAUCGUAGAUAGAGAUAACAGCAACAAUGGCUGUGCACUAUCCUUCUUCCUCUUCCUUAAUUUUCACUUCUCCAAACAAAACUUCAUUUCUUGGUUUCUCCAUGGCAGCUUUAUCCAAACCGUCGUUUCAAUCAUUUCCCCUUUCAAGAAUCAAUCGGACGACCCAAAUUCGUUGCCAAGAUAAAGCUGCUUAUAUUCCACUUGACCAACGAUGGAUGUUUGAAGAAUCUGAAAUCGAUGGCCCUGAUAUUUGGAACAAGACAUGGUAUCCCAAGGCUGCCGACCAUGUGAACACAGACAAACCUUGGUAUAUCGUUGAUGCCACUGACAAAAUUCUUGGAAGAUUAGCAUCAACUAUAGCGAUAUAUUUAAGAGGGAAGAAUCUGGCUACAUACACUCCAAGUGUUGACAUGGGUGCAUUUGUCAUAGUGGUUAAUGCUGAGAAGGUUGCCGUAUCUGGGAAGAAGAGGACCCAAAAACUUUACAGGAGGCACUCAGGGAGACCUGGUGGGAUGAAAGUGGAGACUUUUGAUCAACUCCAACAGAGAAUUCCUGAAAGAAUCAUUGAACAUGCUGUCCGUGGCAUGCUUCCCAAAGAGAGGCUUGGAAGACAAUUAUUUACCCAUCUUAAGGUAUAUAAAGGUCCUGAACAUCCUCACGAGGCACAAAAACCCAUCGAAUUGCCGAUUAGAGACAGGAGGAUACAGAAGCAACGGUGAACUCCUAGCGAUACCACUGAGGAACAGGUUGGCGAUUCUGCUUGCUAUGACAUAUUGUAUCAGCUAUUGAUGAGCCCCAGUCUUUCGGGGAAUUUCCCCUCUUUUUUAGUCUUUAAAGUAUUUCAUUUAGUAAGGUUCGGAUCUGAGCACGAGUGGGGGUCGAGGCUUGUAGAUGCUUUGGAGCAUUUGCUUAGAUUUUGGGGUGAGCCUAUGAUGGUUUUGCGAUGUUAGACUCUUUCCUGUUUUUACUUUCUGUCUUUUCUUAUUUCGAACAACAUUUUGUACUAUUCAGAUUUGUAUUCAGAUUAGUAGCUCUUCUACUUAUGACUUCCAGAUUUUGAGGGAGUAGUUGACUUAGACAUAUUUAUAUUUCAGUUAUUUAAGAAUUUUAAGUAUA